AACUUUCUGUCUUGAAGGAAGAAUGGACUUGACCUUGAAUGAGGUGGUGGAUGGUAAUGUCCAUUUCUUUCAUGUGUUCUCACCUUCGUUUGGCUUCCUUUCAAGAGCUGGAAUGAACAUGGAUGAAUCUGGAAACCGUCAUUCUCAGAAAACUGACACAAGAACAGAAAAUCAAACACCGCAUAUUCUUACUCAUAGGUGGGUGUUGAACAAUGAGAACACAUGAACACAGGGAGGGGAGCACUACACACUAGGG
rnacentral:lncRNA from 1 species